CCCUCCUGCACUGGAUAAAGUGUCUAAAAACCCCAUCGGUUUGGACAUGGUGCACCUUAUCGAAUACCAACUUCACUUUGGAGAUGAAAGGGUGUUGAGGACAAAUGUUUAACCCAGGUGCAGCCUAAGGCUGGAUAAAGGUGAUAUAAUCUUAUAAGAAGAUAAGAAAAUGAUUCCUCACAUAGAAAGGAGACAUUCCAAGGUGGAUAAAGUUUCAUUUAAUUUUAAAGGUAUAAAUGAUAAGGUAGAAGGCAGUGGAGAAUCAAGCCCUGUAUUACCUUUACUCAAUGUGAGCAACACCAGGUCAUGUGAGGAGUCCUUACUGACUGCUACUCUGUGAAAGGAAUUGGACCCUGGAUGUUUUUCUUAAAGACUCUGGGCCAAACUAUGCAGAGAUGAGUGGAAGAAGAAGGCACAAGCAGCCUGCUCACUUUCUCCCCUGCACAGGAACUGGGCACCAUUUCAGUCCUUGAGCAAUAUGAGCGUGAAACCCAUUAGGCCAGUAACCACUGCAGCAUUAGACUCUCCAAAAUGAGCAGAUGGCAAGGUCAUAGUCUCAC
rnacentral:lncRNA from 1 species